rnacentral:tRNA from 1 species
GCGGCCAGCAACGUCGGAUACGGACUCAUAAUCCGUUGGUCGCGGGUUCGAGCCCCGCCCGCCCCA